rnacentral:tRNA from 1 species
UCCCUGGUGGCUCAGACGGUAAAGCAUCUGCCUGCAAUGCUGGAGACCCGGGUUUGAUUCCUGGGUUGGGAA